AAAUUAGAUAAAUUACUGAAAUAAUAAAGGUGAAUAUUCUGAAAAAACCUACAGAAUGGCUGCUGUAGAGCAACCCUGUUAUACUCUCAUAAACGUUCCUAUAGAUUCAGAGCCCUACAGUGAAUUACAGCUAAAACAUGAUUUAGAAAAAGGAGAUGUGAAAGUUAAAAUUGAAGCUCUAAAGAAAACGAUUCACAUGAUUUUGGCUGGGGAACGUUUACCUCCAAAAUUACUAUUAAUAUUCUGGGAAAUCGUCCCAUAAACAACUCCUGAUGGAAAACUUUUACAAGAAAUGAUUCUUGUUUGUGACGCAUACCGAAAAGAUCUGCAGCA